rnacentral:rRNA from 1 species
AUGGUUUGGAAGGCUUGCCCCCCCCCCCAAAAGUCAAGUUCUUCGCUUGGCUGGCGUUGCAAGACAGAAUUUGGACCGCCGAUAGAUUGGCCAAAUGCGGGUGGCCCAACUGUGAUCUCUGCCCUCUUUGCAAGGGAGUGCAGGAAUGUGGGUCUCAUCUCUUCUUCAAAUGCCGCUACACACGAAGGCUUUGGUCCUUGA